GAGAGCGUGGCCUAGUGGUUUGAGCAUUGGACUACAACUCUGGAGACCAGGGUUCGGUUCCCAGCUCGGCCA